GCUGGGCGUGGUGGCGCAUGCCUGUAAUCCCAGCUACUCGGGAGGCUGAGGCACGAGAAUCACUUGAACCCAGGAGGUGGAGGUUGCAUUGAGCUGAGAUCACAGCUUUGCACUCCAGCCUGGGUGAUAGAGUGAGACUCUGUCUCAA
rnacentral:SRP_RNA from 1 species